rnacentral:rRNA from 1 species
GCGAACGCUGGCGGCAAGCUUAACACAUGCAAGUCGAACGGGCUUCUUCGGAAGUCAGUGGCAGACGGGUGAGUAACACGUGGGAACGUGCCCUUCGGUUCGGAAUAACUCAGGGAAACUUGAGCUAAUACCGGAUACGCCCUUUUGGGGAAAGGUUGACUGCCGAAGGAUCGGCCCGCGUCUGAUUAGCUUGUUGGUGGGGUAACGGCCUACCAAGGCGACGAUCAGUAGCUGGUCUGAGAGGAUGAUCAGCCACACUGGGACUGAGACACGGCCCAGACUCCUACGGGAGGCAGCAGUGGGGAAUAUAGGACAAUGGGCGCAAGCCUGAUCCAGCCAUGCCGCGUGAGUGAUGAAGGCCUUAGGGUUGUAAAGCUCUUUUGUCCGGGACGAUAAUGACGGUACCGGAAGAAUAAGCCCCGGCUAACUUCGUG